ACACAGCAUGGACAUGAGGGGGUCUGCUCAGCUCCUGGGGGUCCUGCUGCUCUGGCUCUCAGGUGCCACACGUGCCUUUGAUGUGACCCAGACUCCAACCACAGUGUCUGCAGCUGUGGGAGACACAGUCACCAUCAAUUGCAAGACGGGUCAGAGUGUUGGUAGUAAUCUAGCCUGGUUUCAGCAGAAACCAGGGAAACCUCCAAAGCAACUGAUCUAUGCUGCAUCCACUUUAGCCGAUGGGGUCCCUGACAGGUUCAAGGGCAGUAGAUCUGGGACAUCAUACACUCUCACCAUCAACGGGGUGCAGGCUGCGGAUGUUGGAAUCUACUACUGUGCUGGGUAUUAUAGUGCUAGUAGUGCUACUGCAGUGAUAUAAGUCUUAAUCAAAACCAACCACAA